CCUACGGGGGGCAGCAGUGAGGAAUAUUGGUCAAUGGACGGAAGUCUGAACCAGCCAUGCCGCGUGCAGGAAGACGGCUCUAUGAGUUGUAAACUGCUUUUGUACAAGGGUAAACCUGAAUACGUGUAUUCAGCUGAAAGUACUGUACGAAUAAGGAUCGGCUAACUCCGUGCCAGCAGCCGCGGUAAUACGGGGGAGCCAGCCGUUAUCCGGAUUUAUUGGGUUUAAGGGGUGCGUAGGCGGAUUGAGCAUGUAGAGGUGAAAUGUCCGAGCUUAACUCGGGAACUGCCUGUAGUACUGGUGAUCUAGAGAGUAGAUGCGGUAGGCGGAAUGUAUGGUGUAGCGGUGAAAUGCUUAGAGAUCAUACAGAACACCGAUUGCGAAGGCAGCUUACCAAUCUAUAUCUGACGUUGAGGCACGAAAGCGUGGGGAGCAAACAGGAUUAGAUACCCUAGUAGUC
rnacentral:rRNA from 1 species